rnacentral:rRNA from 1 species
UGGGGAAUAUUGCACAAUGGGGGAAACCCUGAUGCAGCGACGCCGCGUGAACGAAGAAGGUAUUCGUAUCGUAAAGUUCUGUCCUAUGGGAAGAUAAUGACAGUACCAUAGAAGAAAGCUCCGGCUAAAUACGUGCCAGCAGCCGCGGUAAUACGUAUGGAGCGAGCGUUGUCCGGAAUUAUUGGGCGUAAAGGGUACGCAGGCGGUUUAAUAAGUCGAAUGUUAAAGAUCGGGGCUCAACCCCGCAAAGCAUUGGAAACUGAUAAACUUGAGUAGUGGAGAGGAAAGUGGAAUUUCCAGUGUAGUGGUGAAAUACGUAGAUAUUAGGAGGAAUACCCGUUGCGAAGGCGACUUUCUUGACACAAACUGACGCUUAGGUACGAAAGCGUGGGGAGCCAACCGG